UGGUGGAGUGAUUUGUCUGGUUAAUUCCGUUAACGAACGAGACCUCGACCUGCUAAAUAGUUCGCCGAACCAUUCGGCUCGCGUGUAACUUCUUAGAGGGACUAUCGGUGUGUAGCCGAUGGAAGUUCGAGGCAAUAACA
rnacentral:rRNA from 1 species